GCUCCAAGCUGCGGCCAGCCUGGCCUUGAACACUUCCAGGGAUGGGGCAGCCACGAUUUCCCUGGGUUUACGGGCACAAGAGGGAAUUUCCAGCAGGAACUGAGGGGUUUCCCUUGCUCUGCCUGGCCCUAGCAGGGCUUUGGGAGGCAGAGGCUGUGGGAACAGGAGCUUUGUCCACUGCCUUGGGGGAGUCUCUGAUGUCCCAAAACCCAGCAGAGCAAGUGGUUGUGGUUUAACAUCCCAUUCAAAGGAGAUGCCAGGCCAGGAACGGGAAUGGACUGCAGAGCAGGGAUGGUGCCCAGCAGAGGGGUGACUGUCCAGGGGGUCCCAGCAGUCCAUCCCUGCUGCCCAGGUUUGGGAUGAGCAGGCUGGUGACUGUCCCUGUGCUUGCUCUGCAGGAUGAGGAAGCUAGGCCUGCUGAGGAGGAAGAUGAGGAAGUGUGUGAGGAUGGAGACAGCGGCCACCAAAGGCUGGGGAAGGCACAGAUCCAGAUGCUGGGAUUGCCUCUGGGCACAUGUGCUGAGCUCUCCCUGCAGGGAACUGUCAGGCCUUAACAGCUGUGAGGUUGUGUUCUUCUCAGUGGGGAACUGGAGAUAAUAAUUAAUUAAUUAAUUGAUUGCAGUAAUGUUUUCUGAACCUUUCCCCUUUCCUGGUAGAUCUUCUCUCUCUGCCUCUGAAUUUACAGCUGUUCCCUGCUGUCAUUGGCCCUGCCUGAAUUCCUUGCAGCUCCUCACUGGGAAAACCUGGGAUAACUUCAAGGGGACAGAGGAGACAUUUUUAGCUGAAAACCUGGGGUGACUGAGAGGGGACACAAGAAUUGUUUGUGUAGGAAAAUGGGAGGGGAUGUCGAGCGGAGCAAGGUGGCAUUUUUGAGGGAAAAGCUGAGGUGAUGUUUAGGGGAGAGAAUGCACAUUUUUGGGGCAGAAAAGAGUUAAUAUUGUACAGGAAGGAAAAACUGGGGGGUAAAACCUGAUGUAAUCUGUAGGGGACAGAAUGAAUAUUUUGGAGUAAAAAUGAGGUACUCAGUAGUAGACAAAGAAGGAAAAGUUUGGAGGCAAAACUUGACAAAGUCUCAAGAGCAGAGAAUGAACACUUGGAGGGAAAAAUGAGGUGAUGAGUACUGAGCAUGUGGGGAAAAUUUGGGGGCUAAAUCUGAACUAAUCUCUAGGGGAGAGCAUGAACACACUGAGGUAAUAUGAGGGAAUCAGUUGUGGGCAGAUAGGGAAACUUGUGUAAAAAUAAUAUUAAAUAAGCUGUAGAAAGAACAUUUUGAGGUAAAAAUGAGGUAAGCAGUAGUAGACAGAUGGAAAACUUUGGGGGUAAAUCUUGAUAGAAGCUACAUGGUAGAAAGGAAAUAAAUAUUGAAGGAA